rnacentral:rRNA from 1 species
GUGGGGAAUAUUGGACAAUGGGCGAAAGCCUGAUCCAGCCAUGCCGCGUGUGUGAAGAAGGUCUUCGGAUUGUAAAGCACUUUAAGUUGGGAGGAAGGGCAGUAAGUUAAUACCUUGCUGUUUUGACGUUACCGACAGAAUAAGCACCGGCUAACUUCGUGCCACCAGCCGCGGUAAUACGAAGGGUGCAAGCGUUAAUCGGAAUUACUGGGCGUAAAGCGCGCGUAGGUGGUUUUGUAAGUUGGAGGUGAAAUCCCCGGGCUCAACCUGGGAACUGCCUCCAAAACUGCAUGACUAGAGUACGGUAGAGGGUAGUGGAAUUUCCUGUGUAGCGGUGAAAUGCGUAGAUAUAGGAAGGAACACCAGUGGCGAAGGCGACUACCUGGACUGAUACUGACACUGAGGUGCGAAAGCGUGGGGAGCAAACAGGAUUAGAAACCCCAGUAGUCC